CCCGUGCGGCCACCGCUGCACUCCUCCUGGUCCCUGAGACCCUAACUUGUGAGCUUUGUGUGCUAAAAAUCACAGGUUAAGCUCUUGGGACCUGGGCAGAGGGCAAAAGCACUGG
ensembl:miRNA mir125b-3 microRNA 125b-3